GAGAAUGAUCGCGGUCUUGCCGGUCUGGCGGUCGCCGAUGACGAGCUCGCGCUGACCGCGGCCGACCGGGAUGAGGGCGUCGAUGGCCUUGAGGCCGGUCGACAUCGGCUCAUGAACCGACUUGCGCGGAAUGAUGCCGGGC
rnacentral:sRNA from 1 species